AUAUUCUAACCUCAGAAUACCCUCUUCAAUCUCUCUCUCUUCCCCUCCACACCCAGCACGCAUUUGGGCAAACCAAAACCCUAAAUUACAUUUCUUAAUUUGUUCGAAUUCGAUCUUCAAAUUUCGUUGAUUUUACCAGUAAAUUUAAGAGUUGAGGAAACCCUUCAAAUUUCUCCUAGAUCGGAAAAAUUUCUCAGUUUUUGAAGUUUGGGAAAAAUGCCGGAGUGUUGUUGUUGGAGAUCCGGUUUACAUCCCCACCGUCCUUGAGUACCUAGCUUGUUUCGAUCUGAGGCGUCUGAUCUGGUUCUAGAUUUUGAUGAAGGAAGCUCAAAAGGCGGAUACAAGGGGUGUGUGUUAUUUGAGCAGGAUCCCCUUAAAGUAUCUACUGAUAGGUGCCUUGUGGUUACUUGUCAUUACUUUCAAGGACUGAGGAAACGAAAGUAGCUGGUGCAGAUUAAUGUGGCACUUUCAAGACUAAGAUUCCAGCUCUAGCUAAUUAGCAGGUCAUCCCAGAGAAACUACCCUAUAAGUUGCAUAGCCUCUACCUAUUGUACUCUCCUCUGUUCCUGCUACCAACUCAUCUCAUUCAUCUGCUGCUGGUGGUGCUGCUGGUGCUGGUCUAGCAGUGUUUUGUGCUGGCAGGUCUAUGCUACUGAGGUUGGCACAGUUCUUCUCAGUUGUGCGUUCUUUUAUGAUAUAUUUUGGGUCUUUGCUUCCAAAUGGUUCUUCCAUGAGAGCGUUAUGAUCAUGUAUUUCCUCAAGUUCCUGCCACUUAUUCUCAAGCGAUGAUUGACGAGACACGGGAUACUUUGGUUACAUAUUUUUCAAGCAAAAACAAGUUUUCAAUGAUAGAUUGGUGAAGAUGAAGAAAAUGAUAUUUUGGACGUUGAUCAUGAAUGAUCUUUGUAGCUAGUGCAUAUUGACACUUUCUAACAAAUGUUUUGCGAAUCUCAUAGCAAGUUCAUACAUUUGAAGUAUUCUUUUGGAUUUAAGCUUGUGAUUGGAGUUUGGAGAAUGUUAUAUAUUACACUAGUUUUAUUUAAUUUAUUGGUUUGGAGAACAAGAAGGUACAUUGGUCGGU